UACAGAGGAAAUGGAAGUCAGAGUGCUCAAAGUCCAUCUCUUUUCAUGCUUGUUCCCGUAGAAAGCUGUGAUUUCUGCUAUGACAUCCAAAGUCAUGGCCAGUUAAGUCACAGUUGAAUUGUAGUGGUCUGAUAUAUGCAUCAACCACCCUCAAGCUGGUGAUCUUGCUACUCCUCGUGCGUGACCUGUCACAGUGAUGUUCAAAGGACACCUGUGCUAUUUAUAAUAAAUAUUAUCAGACUGAAUUCCACAAACAAAUGCCUUUGCCUUUUGCAGAAUCCUUUCCCUCACCUGUGAAAAAGAGUAAUGCAGCUAGAGAAGUGGCUUUAAUCUUGACCUGAACAGGAUGUGGCUGUUGCCAGCAGGAGGGCUCUGCAGAUUACUGGCAGCUUGUCUCUCAGAUGCUGGCAGACAAGUACUCAGUCUAGUACCAACAUGCUAGGCGGAUUGUCUAGCUCCUAUAGCCUGACACCCAACAGACGUAUCAAGAUGGAAUCUGGAAUUGCUUUAAAGCCCUGGCUUUUUCCUUUAUUUUUACAGUGCUGUCUGACUGCAGCCCUCAUUGCCCUGCAGUUGCCCCGAUGUGACCUAUGCAGCACACUGGUGCCCUUUUGUGCAUAACUUCUUUGUGCCAUGCAGCACCAUCGUGGCCACACCAGCAGACCAGACCAUCUGGCAAAGAGGCCUCUGUCAUUGCUGAGAAGGGGAACAUCAACCAGAACUGUGCUUUGCAGGACACACCUGCCUGCAGACCUGAAAAUUGUAUCAGCUGGUGGCAGGAAGUGAGAUGAAACCCCUAUAAUCCCAUGGGAAACUGUAAGAAACUUCUUACAUCUUUUGAAUAUUCAUAAGUCUAUGGGGCCAGGCAGGAUCCAAUCCACCCAAGGGUACUGAAAGAGCUGGUGGAAGUGCUCGCCAAGCCACCUUCAGUAGUUUUUUAGCAGUCCUGGCUAAAUGGGGAGGUUAACUAGGAAUGUGACACCCAUCUACAAGAAGGGCAGGAAGGAAGGAAUCCAGGGAACUACAGGCCUAUCAGUCUGACCACAGUGCUGGGAAAGGUGAUGGAUCACCCUGAACUGGUCAGAUCAUCCUGAGUGCCAUCAUGAGGCACUGGCAGCCUCUGGUUUGCAGAGUGCACUACAGAUGGGGAAUGACAGCACUGCACUAAUUUCUUUACUUUGGUGUAGAUAGGUCUAUUGUAACAGAAGGCCUUGUAUAGCACAUGGCAUCUUCCAC
rnacentral:lncRNA from 1 species